GAUGAACGUUGGCGGCAUGCCUAACACAUGCAAGUCGAACGCAGCCUUCGGGCUGAGUGGCGCACGGGUGCGUAACACGUAGGUGAUCUGCCUCAAAGUGGGGGAUAACCACGAGAAAUCGUGGCUAAUACCGCAUGUGCUUAUGAGGGUUUGAGACUCAUAAGGAAAGCUUGAUGUGCUUUGAGAGGAGCCUGCGGCCUAUCAGCUAGUUGGUGUGGUAACGGCACACCAAGGCAACGACGGGUAGCUGACCUGAGAGGGUGGUCAGCCACAGGGGAACUGAGACACGGUCCCCACUCCUACGGGAGGCAGCAGUGAGGAAUAUUGGUCAAUGGGCGCAAGCUUGAACCAGCAAUGCCGCGUGCAGGAUGACGGUCUUCGGAUUGUAAACUGCUUUUGUGUGGGAGUAG
rnacentral:rRNA from 1 species